CGACGCUCACGUUGUGCGACGCGGCGUCUCGGCUGAGUUGGGACCCUGGCCGCUGGCAGGAAGCAGGAGCUCUGGUUGAGCGCGCUGGUCUCUGAGUCAAAGCCAGUUCCUGCCUGAUGGAGGAUGAAGAAAUGAUUUCAAGAUCCAGUCACAGCUUUCAUCUUGUGUGCCCACAGAGGGACCAGCUCCAGAGGAUUCCAGCACUGGACAACAGACAUGGUUUAUCCUUCACUGCACCCAGGGAGCCGAAUGAAGCCCAUUUACUCUGGAGACAUGGAGUUCUGCCCAGCCCCGGUCCUCACACAUUCCACCCUAAUGAGAAAAGAGAAGCAGGCAAGCCUUCUUGAUCUUUCGAGUCCUAAAGCUGCUUCCCUAAACAGGGAGGAAAUAUCAGCCUUGGGCGUUUUCUCUAGCCCGUGACACUGGGCCAGAAGCCACUGCUGCCUCCUGGGAUCAGUGCCCCGUAGGUGCUGAGAGCUUGUUCCUGAAGAAGGAACCUGAAGUAUCUGUGUGAGCAUCUAGGACAGCCUGACUGACAGGAGAUGUUCAAAGAAUAUUUGUCAAAAGAAAAGAGUGGCUGCUGAGCCUGGAGAUGAGAGCACCACCUCCAGAGACUUACAGGUAGGCUAUGAAAUGGAAGAAGUCCACUUCUGCAUGAUAGCUCUAGGAUCCAGGGUAGAUUUCAGCUCCCCUCAAGAAAGGACUAAGAGAGUGUGAGCUGCUUGGGCAGUUAGGCCCACUGUGGCUGGAGGCACCGAGCAGAGGCUGGACAACCCCCCUGGGCAGGGAUACUGUAACGUUCUGGAAGAGGUCCCCGUGCGGGGCAGGGCUUGGUGUAACGGCGUCCCCACGUCCUCUUCAGACACAAGAGCCUGGGUCCCAUGUCGCCAUCCAGCAGCACCCCAAGCACUGUCCAGAUCCCCUUCACUGUGUACUGAGGACUUCUCCUUGGAAGACCACCACACUCAGGCGGGCCUGUUUUUAUUCACGGAUUCUUGUGAUUUUAUUUUUAUAUGGAAAAUAGAUACUUUUUAGCAUAAUGUUUGUCCGCCUGCAGCAGGAUUCCUGGGGUACUGAAAUUUAGACUUGGGACUUCCCAGUUCUACCCAGUCAGAGUCUCCGGGUGGGGCUCGGGAAUCAGGAUUUGGAGGAGCGGCCCGGCUGAUCCUCGCACAAGUAGAGUUUGAGGGUUGCCAUGUCCGGGUCCUCCCACGCCUGCCCUACAAGGAGCCACAGCUGUUCCCGAGGAGGAGCUGCGGAGUCUCGCUGUGUGCCCUUGACCUAGCAGACUGGAUGGACGGAGAGAAAGCAAAGACGGCCCCGAAGGAAAAAGGAGCACCCAGUUCACCGCUAAGAGUCUUGACUUUCAGAUGGAGUAAGGCGCUCCUUCAAGCUAGAGAAAGUGUGUGUAGUUUUUGCAAAAAAAACAAAAAAACAAAAAACUAAAAGUAAGGGAAAUACCAGGAAACGGAUAAAUGUGUGUUGAAGACAAGCCAACAGCCACUGGCUCUUGGAGGAUGAUACAAGACUGUAGACCAGGAGAGCUGGAAGAACGGAGGGUAUCCCCGUACCUCAGGUAAGAAUUAAUAGAAGGGAAAUGUAAAACCCUUCCAGGGGGGUCUACAUUUGCCCGACUGUGCCACUGGCCGGCCUUCACUGGCUUACCCAAACACCCGCAUGCAAAGAGAGUUUCUUGGGAGCAGCUCCUCCAUAACCUCCAGGGUCAGAGCCGCCCCAGUGGUGAUGGACGUGGGGCGGGGGGCUGUCCCUCCUUUGUGGUUCCUGGCCUGGGAGAGGCUGACCCUAAACAGGGAGCUCACUGUCCCACGACAGAGACCUACAUCCUACGUCUUUCUUAAAUCCUCAGAAUGGGAAUCCGGGUCUCAUGUUUACAGACAUCAGAUGGGCCCGAGUCCCUAUUAGGAGCUCUCUGUGCAGCUGAGGGGUCCCUCUCACUGCGCUGGGCUCUGGUUCACUCUGCUUGCUCCUUCCCAGAACCUGCUGUUAAACAGACGGCCAGUCUCAAGGGCUUCCGAAGUGAGCAAAGGAACCCCGCGGCGUGCGGAGUGUGGUAGCGCUGGACAGGGCACAGCGGUGGGGGCAGCUGAGGUGGUAAGUGCUUCCCCCCCAGCCCAACUCCGGGGACUCAAAGGGCUGCUACCUUGGGGACUGCUGGCAGGGCCAGGGGCUGCAGCCGCCACUGAGAACAGUGUCCAGUGGGAGUGGGUGUGCCCUAACGAGGUCUCUCAAAAGGCAUCCCGUUACAGACCAGGGGCCUGCCUGCAUUGACCCCAGAGUAGCUUCGGCUGAGGUCCCGCCUCGCCCGGGGUGUGUGUGGGGUGGGACAGGGCUGUGUCAGGCUUCCCUAUACUUUGGCUAGAUCUCCAAAGAGUCCCUCUGGAAACAGGACACUGGCCCUCCCCUGUGGGUGGGACCAGGGUCAGGCUCGGGUAGAACCCCCCCCCCCCCCACCACCACCAAGGGCCCUCCUGGGUGAAUAUGGGACUUCUGCCCCACAUGCUAUCAAGAGCGUGCCAAGAGCCAGGAGGACAGUGAUGGGCCACUCGUGUGAGGACAGAUCUCGCCUUCCCUCACCCUCCCCAGAGCUCUCGAUAACUGACCUGGGAUUCUUACACCAGGCCCGGAGGCACGACGUGUCUCUCCUCCAUGCUCCGACUUGUGCCUAAGAACCACGCCUGCUUCUCUUGUGCUGGUGUGAAGGCAGGGCAGGGACCCCAGGGGCAGAGGUUCGAGGUGGGGCUGGGGAGGGAGGCAGGGCUCAGGCAAGAGGCACUACCUGCCUGAGCUACUGGGAAAAGUGCGGCCUCCGGUGUCUAUCAUGAGCCUCUAAAUGGUGAGUGCUGGGGGACACGAGCCCGUGCCAAGUGACACGGGCAGCACUGCCCUGCAGACGGGAUCACUGGGGUUCCCAAAGGGAAAGACUAGUCUUCAAACGUUAAUUUAAAAAAAAAACAACAACAAAAAACAAUACAACAAACAGAACUAAAAAAUAAACAGAACAAAAAUUAAACUUCCGUGGGAUGUUUAGAGAUGAGAUAUGUAGAAUGAUGUGACCACAAUGGAGGGAGGGAGGUUUCAUCCACUAGAAGGUCCAUCCCCGAGCACGCACAGGUGUUACUGAGCAGGAGCCUGCCGUCUCCAUGUGACUCUGCGAGCACACUGUGCCUCCUUCCAACAGCAGAGAGCACUAGCUGGUGGUCACCAGAAUUUUUUAAAGGUCACUAAAGCCACUGACCACCACAGGGGGUUGGGGCAUUUGGGAAGUAGGACAGGCUGGCCUGGUCGCAGCGUGUAAACGCUCUGGACUGGGCAGUCCGGGAGUGACCUGUCCCCAACCUCUGCUCUGGUGAGUGUGUCGGGGUGGGGAGCGCGCAAGCCAUGCCUGGCUUGCGGUGAGGACUGGAGUGUAGGCGAGACUGUCGGACCACAACACCCGAGACGCAAGGCUCUGUGCAGCUCGAAUCACUCCGACUGGGGGGGACACCCGUCCUACACAGCUGAUGGGCACUAGGUGCGUCAUAGGGUGGCCCUUUGGGCAGCACCAACCAGCAUAGGCUGCUGGCUGUGAUACCAGGGCCAGAGCGCCUCCCAGAAAAUGCCUAACAAAUCCAGUUUCUUCCACUGGAUGGGCAAUGUGAUGGCUCUGCCCAUCAUGUCAGCAAAAUGCCUGGGCGCGUCCCAGGAGUCUGGCUCUCUUACCACAGGUGCUUCAAGGCAAGCGAAGCCAGCUGCUUUCGGAAGGGCAGAGGAGGAGCACGUGGUCAUCCCAACAAUCUGAUGCAAGCUUUAGGGGUACUUAGACAUUCUCCUCUGCUACAUCAUUUUCAGGUUUUGUCCACAGGUCCCAACAACAUGGCCAGGAAAGUCCAAGCAAGCACAGAACUACCUCAAGACAGCACACAGCAGAGCCCUUGCAGGGUCUCCAACUGCUCCGGCCCCACAGGCUGAUGCCAGGGGCAGCACUCAACACGGGAACGCAGCGCAACCCAGCCACAUGCCUAUGUUGCCUAGGUUGGGCCACAGGUGCCGUCAGAAAUCUCUCGCUGCAAAGGGCUGACUUCAACCUGUCACUCCCCCAACUCCUAAGCGUCCCAUAAAGGCUGAACACAGACGGACACACUCCAGACUAUCGAGUUCAAUGAAAAAUGGACCAAAGAGCACAAAGAAAGAAGGGGCACAGGAUGGUAGGGCCACCUCUGGACAUGGGCUGAGCAGGAGUGAGAACACCUCUUGCAGCCAUGCCCGUGCCUUUACCGCUGCCUGUUGGCACUAAGAGCCCUGCCUGACAAUGUGGAGGGUAGGACUGAUCAGCAUCUGGCCUGCCCACUCCCUGGAGCCCCGCAUGUCUGUCAGACACACGCAUUCAUGCACACUCCACCGUUGCAAACCACAGUGGUCUUACUUUGCCAUCUCCUUAACCCAUUCAUGCACACGCAGGCCCACGUCCUAGGCGGCCACAACCUUUCUCUCUUUCUCCCGCUGGGAGGCGCUAUUGUGACAACUGAGCAGAGCCCCCAGGCAAGCAUCAGAGACAGGACAGGCAUGAGGGGGCCACACUAAGGCAGCUGGGAGACUGGGACAUCUUCCUACUAUGCUUGAAGACGCAGAGAGUUUACGGGGCCCCCUUCCAACAGGCUGCACUAUAGGGCCGGUGUCCCCCUCUCCUGCCUGUGGCUGGCACUGGCUGAUCUGGAGAAGCAGAGUGGUGUUGAAGACUGCUUUCUGCUCUGAAGUCUGGUCAAUGCAGAGACUAACCACCAGCGGCAAGGGGGCUGGGCCAGCAGGCAGGACUCUCACUUUGUUCCCACACUUGAGUUGGUCCUGGAUCCCUAGCGACAGGUCUGUGUCUCCUAGGAGAACGACUCCCGUCAUGGUCGCCAGCGGAUGCCUUUCACAGAUGGCGUUUGCCAACAUCUCCUUUCUCCACUUGCUCUGUUUCAAGCGAUUCAAUUUAAUCUUUGUUGCAGUGGAGAGGCCCUCAGAAAAUGGGAUUUUUAACUAACUGGGCACCGUCUCUUCCUUCUCUUGGGGUCCCCACAGAGAAGAGGUCUGGACCAUGAUUGUGCAAUAAGCAAGCAUCGAAAAGAAAGCGCUUAAAAACAAUUAGGGGGUCCUUGUAUGGAAUGGCAGAGGGUAGAUAAGGUUUCAAAAAAAGAUCCUUACUCAACCAACUGCCAAGGCUUGGCUGGAGCUGGGUUUUUCCCAUCUGAGGAGUCCCGCGGGCCGGCUUAGCCUCCGUCCUCCAGGGCUGAAUGACAUAGGACCGUUGCCCCAGGAUGCUUGGCCAAGCCUUCCCAGGGGUCCAAUACAUCUCAACCCACUGCACAGAUAGGUACAAAGCACAACAAAGCUUUGCACGGGCGACCAAUCAUGAGGAUGGCUGGCAGCAAGCAAGUUGUCAGGGGCUGUUCAGGCACGUUAGGAGGUGAAGCAUUGUGCAUUAAUUCCAAGCGGGAAACUCACAGAAAAGCAGAGGCCGUCAUACCUGGGAUGGCCGUGGGCUGGGCCGAGGUCCUGAACACAAAGUGAGCCGCCUUGGACUUCCCCUGCUGGUUCUCAGCCACCACGUAGACCUCAUACUCCGCAUUCCAUUCCAGGGACUUGAGCAUGACGUGGUCACUGCCAGACGGGAGCCGGAUCUCUGGUUUCCACUCGGAAGAGAGCUUCUGGGAGAAACCGGCAGGAAGGACACAAGACACCAGGAUAGUUUAGAUGAAAAUGCUGGUGAGACCCACUCACGGGAAGUGCUUCAGGGAGUCACUACUAUUAGUACAAAAUAAUACAAAUAAAAACCGAUGAGAGGCCAGGGUGGUUGUCCUUUACCAGCCUGAAAACCCCUAAGGACAAUGAAGGUCAGGAGGUCAACCUCGCAUUUUGUAAGCACAGCAGCUGAUGGCGGGUGCCAUAGGGCAACCCUCCAGUGUCUUGUCCCAUUGCCAUCCAGGGCACCCAGGGACUCAAGAACAUUCCGGAAGACGUGGCAUAUGGACACCCCAGAAGAGCCAUGCAACGAAUAUGCUUCUUGUCCGGUUUCAGGAUGUUGCUCCCACUCAGCUGUGUGACUCACCUUCCCACACGGGAACGUGGCAUAGGUUCAUUUUGUUAAUAAAAAUUACCAUUUGUUGAA